CACCCUUCUUUGCCCUACAUUGUCUUGUUCUUGUACCUGCUGUGGCACUGCCUCACACAUGUGUCCCAGAACAGAAGUGUUUAAAGUAGGAGAACCUUAGACAGCUUCUCAUGCCUGUGCUUUGUUCUGUUCUGUGCAUAUCUUACUCUACUUAUCCCUACUCAAGGAAGAUAUAGAUUCUAUCUAGAUCAGUCUGGCCUUGAAAUCACACAGGUAGGCCUGACUCUGCAUCCAGAGUGCUGGAUCAUAGGUACUUGCCAUGUCCACCAAGCUUAUCUCUACUCUGAGCUUUCUUUUUUAUUUUAAUUUCAUUUUACAUACCAACCACAGUUAACCUCCAUACCCUCUUCCUGCUACUUACUCCCCCACUCCCAUCCACACUUCAGAGAGGUUAAACAACCUUGGUGCAGUGAGGAGGGGCUUGGACCUGCCUAGGCUCAGUGUGCUGGGCUCUGCUGACUUCAGAGAGGUUAAAUAAAGCCUCCCUUGGGGAGUCAGCAAAAUCUAGCAUAUCAAGUUGAGGCUUCCCUGUGUUUUGUGUGACAUCUUGGGAUUACUAAUGUAGUACAGGGUUCAUCUCUGAAUAAGAUUGUUUCUUAAUUUAAUAACUGGUUAAAUUGAUUCUUAAGUGAAUACUUCCUCAGUAACUGUUAAUUUCUUGUUACUGUUUAGUUGGAAAUUAUUGGGAGAAUUUCCCUACACAUUGGUGUGUCACUUCUUGUCCAGAGAACUACUCACUAUGGAGUACCCAGCCUCAGCUGAUAAGAUCCAACACAACCAGUGCUCAUAAGAUGUAGGAAAUGCUGUGGAAGAUGGGCUGGACAGAUUUUAAGAGCCAGGGAUCAGAAGAGGAUAUGGUUUCCUAUAUUUGACAGGGAACCUUUACCUAGACUGAUCUCAACAGUGUGGUGUCUAAAAAUGGCUUGGGAUAUGAUGUCUUGUACCUUUUUAUUUAAAAUCUGUGGUUCUCUGAAACAUUAAGUUUCAAACUACCUCCAGAGUCAUCGCUUCCACUUGUCUUCUUUUAUUUCCAUAUUUUCUAACCGCUGCUAAGAAAAAAAUCUAAAUAUAACAAUCAACUGGAGAUAUCAACAUCAAUAGAAUCCCCAUUAAACAAAGAUUUAAAAGCAUAGUUAAAAAUAAGGGAGAAGUGAUCAAAAGAAGUGUGUUAAAGUUUCUUUCCUUACCUGCCAUGGUUGGAGAGAGAGUAUCAGCAAUCCACAGUACAAUGGAGCAAGAGAAUUGGUUAUUCUUGUCUGAUCAGCUGACCUGAGUGGCAAGUGUGUCCGGUAUCAGACAGCACUUACUGGUGACUGGGCACAGGUGACCUGUGAUGAUCCAAAUUUGUUUACAGGCAUCACCAUGGAAAUCCCAAGAAGUACCAGGUGGUGGUGGGGUUGGAGGGGAAAUGAUGUCAUAAAUGGGGUUGGAGGGGAAAUGAUGUCAUAAAUGGGGCAGCAGCCAAUGGGAAGGUUGGAUUCUGAGCUAAAAGUUGGAAUUGGUUGGAGAGGAUGCCAGGAGACCAACAGUAGUCAUGGAAGCUGAGGUGUGGACUAGUGAAUGGAGGCAAUACUGGUAUGAAAGUACCCCUUCCCAUGAGUGAGGACUUUGGAUUUCUUCUUCUGCUGCUUUGGCUUCUGACAAGUAUUCCAAGACCACAGCCUUAUGUUGCAGAUGGCUCUCAAAAGUCUUGCUGGCUCCAGUGAAGUAUGCUCUGCUUCAGGAAGGCCCUCACAAAGGCCUCAGCCCGCUGGCUUCCCAGCUCCUGCUCGGAAACAUGGUGGUGUGGUUUACUGUUCUGUUCUCAGACUCCGGGGUCCUCAUGUCCAGUUCCCGAGAGCCACCAUUUUUGCUGAUCUAGGCUACAAAUCCCUUGUCUUCCAAGUGUUUGCUACAGACAACUACCAAGAUGUAAAAGUAACACUCACAUGCUAACUGUGACACUGUCCUACACUGUAGCCAGGUCAAACACUGACUUCCUGUCCUGUUUCUCUGAGGUAACUCUAUUGAGCAUUCAAAAUCCUUUGUAACACAAGACUUCUCUAAUCCUUGUGGGGAAGGAAGCUUGAGAAAUGGAUGAUACAGGUUAUUUAAUAAGUCAUGACCACAAGACUAGCUUGAAGUGGAAGGGAGCUGGGGGUGUUAGGGAAAUAGCCAUUCCAGAACUAGGGGAAAUUGCCUGGGGGUUCCAGGCAGGUCAAGGAGGAGGAAAUCUGAUACUGAGCACCACAGUCCCCUUUCCUUGCUUUUCAGCCUUGUGGCCUCCAUGUGGCUGCUGUUGGAGAGGUCUGCUCCAGUCCCCCUUGAGGCAGAAAGCGUGAAGUGCAUCUCGGGCACUACUCACUCUCAUCCACAGGACUGUAAUACCCUAGGGAAGAGCAGGUGAAACCACUUCACUGUUGCACCCAGUCCUGAGAAACUGUAGUGUCACCACCUCUCAAGUUGGGGCAGCAACAGUCUAUUCUUCACUGGGCAGCAGGCAUCUCACUUGGCCUUCAUCUGCUGCAACCCGGACAGUGCUCUUUCCUGAGGACCUACCUCUUGGCUGGACCAUUUGCUGGGCUCUUUUUGCACUAACCAGACAGUAAAAACAAGUCUGAGGCUAACUGCUAGCUUUAUUUAGGUUAAUAUAUCAACAGUAACCCGAUAUCCUCUCUCUGCUAAAGCAGGGGGUAAAAAGACAGAACACACCAUCUUUGAGGCAGUUCAAAGUCGGGAUGGCUAAACAAUCUAUCAUCAAUAUCAGAACAAUUUGGUUCUUUUAAACUCAUAUGUAGUCUCUCUUUCAUGGGGAAAUAAAAUCAAGGCCUUUUAAAAUCUUGAUUUCAAGGAUAUUCUCUCUCUUUUGCUUUUUGAGACAGGGUUUCUCUGUAUAUCCCUAGUUGUCUUUAAACCCAGAGAACUGCCUGCCUCUGCCUCCCAAGAACUGGGAUUAAAGGCAUGCGCCACACAGCCUGGUAGGGCAUGUGUUCUUUAUGAGACACAGGUGACAUGUCCACCCAUCUGACAAAGCAUGCUGAAGCAUCCAGACAGAAUUUUUAACAUUCACUUAUGAAAUGGCCUGAACACUGAACACAGAAGCAAGAGCAAGUCAGGUUUCAGGUAGGCUCUGGCUGUCAUUCCCCUGGAGUGGAAGAUGACAUGAAAUCUAGGAGUCCAAGUCCCUCAGAGCUGACUCUGGUACCCUAAGAAAGUAGUCUGGCACAAGAAGACAUCAGCACAAAAGACCUCGAUGGGGCCUAAUAUGCUGACUGUAAAGGUGAAGAGUAAUCCAUGGGAAAGGACAGCUAGACCAGUCUUAGAAGACACUGAACCAUUUUUGCUAUCAAGUCUACUGCUCCCAGCCCACCUUUGAAAGACUGUACCUGUACAUCGUGCUCCUUGGCUUCUUUAUGAGAAAAGGCAUGGUAAAUCACAGCUGGGGAUGAAAGACAAAAAUAGAAGAUUACUUCCUGUUAGGAAUGAGUGUAAUAUCCAAGGCUCUUCUAAGUAUGACCAAAACUACACUUAUUUAGAGACGGAAUACUUGGUUAGUGAAAGGACCAAGCAGAUGCCAUAACAGGCUGCUCAGUCUUCUCUCAGAGAUCAGGCCUCAAUUUCAGUUUCCUGAGACUUGAGCAAACAGUUUCUGGGAGGGCCAUGAACAAAAGACAUAGUCCUUGCAGUAGCUCCCUUUCUGCACGUACUCAGACUGCUCAAAGUUCAGCCAGAUGUUUACUCUCUGGGGCCCGUCACCAACUUAGAGUUAUGUGCAGUACGUGCUUGGCCAGCCAGCCCCCAUGGUGGCUCAAGGACAAAGCCUGGGACUUGUGCUGGACUGCCCCCAAAGUGAUAAAUUGUAACCAACAACCAGUAAAUUCAAAGGUUACAUACCCUCACCCAAUUGAAAGAGAACAGAGAUAAAAAUAAACCAAUCUGAGUUGCACCCGUGCAAAACUCCCCCAACCCCACUGAAGAGCUUGUGGAUUUUGCCUUUAAAAAGCUAGCCACACAAAGAAAAAGCAUGUUCCUCCUGGCCUCACGGUUACUAUGAGUGCUUUGGAUCGAGCUUCCCUGCCCGCGGCCUGUAAACAGAAAUAAACCUUGCUUUUGCAUUCUGUA